rnacentral:rRNA from 1 species
UACAGAGGGUGCAAGCGUUGUUCGGAAUUAUUGGGCGUAAAGGGCGCGUAGGCGGUUCGGCAAGUCUCUAGUGAAAUCUCAGGGCUCAACUCUGAGUCUGCUGGGGAAACUGCCGGGCUUGAGUGUGGGAGAGGAGAGUGGAAUUCCCGGUGUAGCGGUGAAAUGCGUAGAUAUCAGGAGGAACACCGAUGGCGAAGGCAGGUCUCUGGGCAUUAACUGACGCUGAGGAGCGAAAGCAUGGGGAGCGAACAGG